rnacentral:rRNA from 1 species
UACGGUAGGUGGCAAGCGUUGUCCGGAAUUAUUGGGCGUAAAGCGCGCGCAGGCGGUCCUUUAAGUCUGAUGUGAAAGCCCACGGCUCAACCGUGGAGGGUCAUUGGAAACUGGGGGACUUGAGUACAGAAGAGGAAAGCGGAAUUCCACGUGUAGCGGUGAAAUGCGUAGAGAUGUGGAGGAACACCAGUGGCGAAGGCGGCUUUCUGGUCUGUAACUGACGCUGAGGCGCGAAAGCGUGGGGAGCGAUCCGG